rnacentral:miRNA from 1 species
UAAGUGCUUUCAGUUAGGGUGA